AUUCAAUGGUGAACCAAAAUUUGAGCUUUCUGGCUAAGGAACGUGAAAGCGAGGUGUCACUAUUCCAACACGGCCUUUCAUGGUGUGAAUGUCUAAUUUCCCAAGCAAAGUUUUAUUGCCAAAUCCAAAGCCAUACCAUAGUUGGUAUCGUCCCAUCUUAUCUUUCCUGGAUAAACCCAAAAAUAAUAAUGAUAGAGGGCAGAGACAUGGCUUAUAAGAAGGAGGCAAUGAAAUAUUGCAGCAGAUCCGAUGUAAAGGGCAUCCUAGUUCUUGCAGGCCCUCUCUUUUAUAAAGGCUUUUGAGAGAUAGAGAGAGAGAGAGAUCAAUGGAGUUGGGGCUCUUCGGACACAGUUCUGUCCCUUGUUCCAUUCCCUUGAGGCUAUUAUUUCUAAUCACAUACGGACGAUUUCCCUAGAUAUACGCAUGUGUGUAGAAUGGAAUGCAUGUUUGCUUAAUUAUGCAUGAAGAAGCUAUACCAGAUAUAUACCAGUGGAGGCGUUGGGGGUAUAACUGGGUUAGAAUGAUUGAAGUUUCGGGGGUUUCAGUCUCUCUCAUAUGGGCUAAACAGGUAAAACAAACAGUAAAAGGCAAAGCAAAGGUAGGUAGUCUUUUAUAUAUAUAUAUUCUCGAACAAGAAGAAAGGUUGUCAAGUUGAGAGAAAAAGAAAUACUAAAAGGAGAAAAGAAAUCAAGGGUUGGGACCUUGGACAUUAUUGUAUGUGCAUUUAUGUAUUGCAUGAAUUGGAUUCGCAAGUUCCAAACCACCUGACGUUUGAUACCAAUGUCUACAGUAAACUCCUCUGUUCUGUGAUCCUGCCACUUGCACGCUUAAAUACAUUUACUUCUCUAUGCUCAUAUAUAUAUAUUUUUUUUCUCUAUGCUCAUAUAUAGCUAGGUAGACUGCAUUUUUUUAGCAACAAAAAAAUUAAAACUUGUAAACUUCUAGACUUGAAGGUUAGGAUAUUAAGGAAUCUGUGCUAGGAUAUCAAGGAGAACUAUUGCUACUGUGGGAGAUCUAAGAUUUGAUUCCUAAUAUCACCCAAUUUCACCGGAAAAGUUAGUCAAUGUCGUAGAGAAUAGGCUGAACAGUAGACUGUCUUGCCAGUUCUGCAGGCCAUCCAUAAUCAACAGGCUAUCUCUCAAAUUAAUAACUGCGCCUCUGCGGCUAACGCCCGCAGAAAUGAGGUAGUAUCUCCAUAGCUUCUACAUUAUUAUGGCUAUAUGUCCUUUACGAGUCAUAACCUGUUGGGUUAGGCAAGUGGGUCUCACCACAAUUGUGCCCCGAACCAGUCCAGG